CAGGGGUUAGUUUAAUUAAAAUAUUAAAUUUGGGUUUUAAAGAAAGAAGCUAUUCUUCCCCUGA
rnacentral:tRNA from 3 species